AGGGAGCCUUUGUUGCACAUAUCCUGAAUACCUCAAGAUGGUGACAGAUUGGUACUGAAGACAGAUCUAACCUGCUGCUGUGAUUGGUGUUUAACUCAGUCCAACAGCGAGUCCAACAUUACCAUAUACUUUCCUGUCUGGAACCUUUACAGAUUUUUCCUGAUUUUGUUCCCUUCAGCAUAGAGAAGUCAGAAGAAGACCUAUCAUCUUUAGGACCAGUUGAAGAUUUCCUCCACUUUGUAUUUUUUGACGUCUCUUGACAACACCAGUAGUAUGGACAAAUGGUU